CUUGUGAUUCCUCUGGUGUUGCAAGAGAAUGUGGGCGGCGGUGAUCACUUAACACCAGGUGACCCGUACGCUCGUUUGUCCUCCUAUUCCAUAAAAAAAACUGAUUAUAAGUAAAAUUAAAUAGACUAUCUAAUUUCCAUUCCAACUUUUUGUUUAGAAAACGAUUCCUAGUAAUGACGUCUUGUCGUGGUUGUGAAUUUAGGCCUAUCAUAACGCAGGUACAAUAGUUUUUGUGUUUAUAUAAUACUAGCUAUCCCGGCAAACAUUGUUUUGCCAUAUAAAUUAUUUUUAGAGUUAGUCCGUUCCUUGGACAUGCAGCAUUACUUUAUUUUUCUAAAAUAAACGUAGCUUAAGUUACUCCUUAUAACAUCAACUACUAAAAUCGGUCCAGCGAGGUUUCAGAGAUUAGCCGAAACAAACAGACAGACUAAAUAUAUA